GGUCAUGGCUCAGCGGUAGAGCGCUUGCCUUGCACAUGCAAGGCCAUGGGUUCAAUCCUCAGCACCA
rnacentral:tRNA from 1 species